CUACGGGAGGCAGCAGUGAGGAAUAUUGGGCAAUGCCCGGAAGGGUGACCCAGCAACGCCGCGUGAAGGAUGAAAGCCGUAAGGUUGUAAACUUCUGUUAGAGGGGACGAAUAACUCCGAUCGACUCGGAGCUUGACGGUACCCUCAGAGAAAGCCCCGGCUAACUACGUGCCAGCAGCCGCGGUAAUACGUAGGGGGCAAGCGUUGUCCGGAUUUACUGGGUGUAAAGGGCGCGUAGGCGGGUUUGUAAGUCAGUGGUGAAAUCCUGCAGCUUAACUGCAGAACUGCCAUUGAUACUGCAAAUCUUGAGUGCGGAAGAGAGAGACGGAAUUCCAGGUGUAGUGGUGAAAUACGUAGAUAUCUGGAAGAACACCAGUUGCGAAGGCGGUCUCUUGGUCCGUUACUGACGCUGAGGCGCGAAAGCGUGGGUAGCAAACAGGAUUAGAUACCCUGGUAGA
rnacentral:rRNA from 1 species